ensembl:lncRNA
CCAUGUUUGUAUGCGGCUUUAUUAAUUAUUAUUUUUUAGAUUGUUUGCAAACUGAUAUGUGACACGUAUUAAUGCCAAAAUAACUAAACAGGGUGGGCUCAAAACAGGUGGGGCUCUGCCCUGAUUGACAGGUCGCCACUGGCCCUAUAUAGAUGUCUGAGCCAUAUGUAAACAAUAAGUAGAUGUCCUAACCGACUUGCCAAAACUAUAGUUUGUUAACAAUACAUUUGUGGAGUGGUUGAAAUACGAGUUUUAAAGACUUCAACCUAAGUGUAUGUUAACUUCCGACUUCAACUGUGUCCUAUAUAUAUAUAUAUAUAUAUAUAUAUAUAUAUAUAUCUCCUAUAUAUUGAUGUCCUAGCCCUAUAUACAUUAAUUAUAGAUGUCCUAGCCCUAAAUAUAUAUAUUUAUAUAUAAUGUCCUAGCCUACCUCUUUCAGGUAAUACAUUCAAUUCAGUAUUAGCCUUAUAUUAUAGCCUUAUAUAUAUAUAUAUAUAUGUUAAUUAAUUAUGGAUUAUGUCUAAUAAGCUUCAAAUUUAUAGCUUCUGUCUCUUGCGUAAUACCCAAGCGCCUGAGCUCCGCUCGCCUCCCCUUUAAAAAACGCUCCUUAGCUCUUGGUCCCAUGCAGGAAAAACUAGAAUAUGUUUUUGGGGUAUUAUUUUUUUAGCAUUUCUUAUACCAAUAGAAGGAUCCUUCUUUUCUGCCGAAUGUUACAUACAGCAGCCAAUAGCACUUGCGGGUUUGAAAGAAGCGCGAAUGACCAAUGACGGUAGACUAUAGCAGUUAUUUAUUCAGACCCAUAAACAUUCAAUCUCCGUGAAGAGACUUGAGGGCCUAUAUAGCUAGCAUAAUAACUGCUUAUGAAGAAUAAAGUCUAUUGUUUAGAGACGGAAGAUAGAUAGCGUUAGAGAACAGGAGACAUUUUAACUGCUAAGUUUUCCCGGGUCUGUCGGAGCUUUGUUAUCCAGCCGUUCUUAUUUUCUCACUCUCCUUCCCCUCCUUUCCCUUUAGAGUGUCUUGCUGAGUUUGCGGUGCAUUCGAUCACUGGCCUCCAUCUGAGCCUUGCUGUCCAGCAGUUGUUCUAGCUGUCUUCUCAUCUGAGCCAUGUCCAGCUGGGUGGCUUGACACUGUU